UACGUAGGUGGCAAGCGUUGUCCGGAAUUAUUGGGCGUAAAGCGCGCGCAGGCGGCCUUUUAAGUCUGAUGUGAAAUCUUGCGGCUCAACCGCAAGCGGCCAUUGGAAACUGGGAGGCUUGAGUACAGAAGAGGAGAGUGGAAUUCCACGUGUAGCGGUGAAAUGCGUAGAUAUGUGGAGGAACACCAGUGGCGAAAGCGACUCUCUGGUCUGUAACUGACGCUGAGGCGCGAAAGCGUGGGGAGCAAACAGG
rnacentral:rRNA from 1 species